rnacentral:misc_RNA from 1 species
UUGUGUUUUUUUUUUGGUUUAAUUUUGUUUUCCUUUCGAGAUUUUUAUUAAUACUUAAAAUUUUCAAAAUAAUAUUUGUGUAUUAUAGUUUAUGUUCAAAACUCUUGAUAUAACAUUGAUAAUAUAUGUUACAUAUAUCUAUUUACAUACAUAAACACCGAUGAGCAAGUAUUUGUCACUACAUUAUAAUAUUGUUAAUACUAUAAUUGUUAAGAAAAACGUUUAAAAAUAGAUAACAUAAAAUCGUGAUAUAACAUUCGAUAAAACUACAAUCAAAUAAAUUAUGUUUUUUUAAACAAUUAUAAUCAAAAUAAUUAAAGCUAUAUUGUCAAUGAUAGAUUUAAGGGGCAUUUAAAUUAAAUAAAUAAUAAAUAAAUAAAUAAAUAUCUACACAAUACAAACACGGUCGUCUGUUCCUAAAGUAAGCAACUCAAUGCUUGUGUUAUAGGUAACAGCCG